CAACCGCGCCCCCCGCGCACGGACCCCCAUUACACUCGCGUCCCAGGCGGGGUCGACCCAGACGAGCCACGGGGCGGCGCAGAGCCCCACUCGCAGGGCGGCCGGGACCCACGCGCGUGGGUCCACGCAACAACCUAUAGGUGACAAAACACUCAGGAAGCCGUCAUGCGGGGCCAAGAAAGAGCCCCCAUCCAGAGUCACGGACCCCCUCGUCCGAGGGUCCGCGCAGUCCCCUCGGUAAGUCGGACGAAGCAGUCUCGCUACGGGGGAGGGCGGCGGAGCCUCCCACUCUUGGUGACCCGGACCCCGCCCCACGAGUGGGUCUUCGCAGGGCCCCCUCUGACGCACACGGGGACCAGCCACGCCGCGGGGGCACCGGGCAGGAGCCAGCGCCCGGGUCCACGCAGUCCCCUCCGGGCAGACGCGGGGAGCUGGGGAGCAGUGGGGACCGGCCCCCACCCGCAGGACGACCGGGACCCCCGCGCGGGCCCACGCGGCGUCGCAGCAGGCGCGGAGCCCCCGGUACCACCCGAGGCCGAGACAAAGCCCAGGCGCACGGACCCCGGACCCUGCGGAGCCCCGCUCGGAGCUUCCACGCCCGGGGCAGAGACCCCCGCCGGGUCCGGAGACCCUGCCGCCAGUCGCGCCGUCUCACCUCAGGCCGCCACCUCGCAGCGCUCGCUCCUCGCCGCGGCGCCUGGGCCGACUGGAGCGCAGCUGAACAGCCGACAGAGCCGCAGCCGCCUUAACAAUGGAGCCCCGGGGCGGGGCCGCCGCCGCCGCCUCAGCCCGUGUACCCCGCUCGAGAUCCGGCUCGGCUCGCGGAGCUGCAGCCGGCGUGGGGCUGCGGCCGGGACAGACACCACGCAGGCGCACACGGCCCCGCCCGCCGCCCGCCGUCCCGCCCCCAGCGGAGCCGGGCGCCCAGGGCCCGCCCCCCGGCCAAUGGGAAGCGAGCUGCGCGGAGUGGGCGGGGCCUGAGGGAACAAAGGGAGGUUGGGCGGGGCGGUGCUGGGACUGGGCUUGCGGGGUCCCGCGGGAGGACCCGCCUCAAAGAGCCGGCCCGAUCAUCGCCUCCUAGAAUACCCAGCUCAACGUCUACCUGGAGUCGGCUCUACAGGACGCGCUCAUCUCAAACCCAGAGCUCAGGCUUUUAGGGCAGAGAGCGAGAGAAAGGCUUGCUUUACAGAAAGGGAAACUGAGGUCCAAGGAAUAGGAUUGCCUGCCGCUCGAAGAAACGUAAUCCCAUUCACUCGUUCAUCUUGUAGUCAUUCAGCAAACAUUUGGAAGCACGUA
ensembl:lncRNA novel transcript